rnacentral:rRNA from 1 species
GAGUAACACGUAUCCAACCUGCCGUCUACUCUUGGACAGCCUUCUGAAAGGAAGAUUAAUACAAGAUGGCAUCAUGAGUCCGCAUGUUCACAUGAUUAAAGGUAUUCCGGUAGACGAUGGGGAUGCGUUCCAUUAGAUAGUAGGCGGGGUAACGGCCCACCUAGUCUUCGAUGGAUAGGGGUUCUGAGAGGAAGGUCCCCCACAUUGGAACUGAGACACGGUCCAAACUCCUACGGGAGGCAGCAGUGAGGAAUAUUGGUCAAUGGGCGAGAGCCUGAACCAGCCAAGUAGCGUGAAGGAUGACUGCCCUAUGGGUUGUAAACUUCUUUUAUAAAGGAAUAAAGUCGGGUAUGGAUACCCGUUUGCAUGUACUUUAUGAAUAAGGAUCGGCUAACUCCGUGCCAGCAGCCGCGGUAAUACGGAGGAUCCGAGCGUUAUCCGGAUUUAUUGGGUUUAAAGGGAGCGUAGAUGGAUGUUUAAGUCAGUUGUGAAAGUUUGCGGCUCAACCGUAAAAUUGCAGUUGAUACUGGAUAUCUUGAGUGCAGUUGAGGCAGGCGGAAUUCGUGGUGUAGCGGUGAAAUGCUUAGAUAUCACGAAGAACUCCGAUUGCGAAGGCAGCCUGCUAAGCUGCAACUGACAUUGAGGCUCGAAAGUGUGGGUAUCAAACUAGGAUUAGAUACCCUGGUAGUCCACACGGUAAACGAUGAAUACUCGCUGUUUGCGAUAUACUGCAAGCGGCCAAGCGAAAGCGUUAAGUAUUCCACCUGGGGAGUACGCCGGCAACGGUGAAACUCAAAGGAAUUGACGGGGGCCCGCACAAGCGGAGGAACAUGUGGUUUAAUUCGAUGAUACGCGAGGAACCUUACCCGGGCUUAAAUUGCAGAUGAAUUACGGUGAAAGCCGUAAGCCGCAAGGCAUCUGUGAAGGUGCUGCAUGGUUGUCGUCAGCUCGUGCCGUGAGGUGUCGGCUUAAGUGCCAUAACGAGCGCAACCCUUGUUGUCAGUUACUAACAGGUUNNGCUGAGGACUCUGACAAGACUGCCAUCGUAAGAUGUGAGGAAGGUGGGGAUGACGUCAAAUCAGCACGGCCCUUACGUCCGGGGCUACACACGUGUUACAAUGGGGGGUACAGAGGGCCGCUACCACGCGAGUGGAUGCCAAUCCCCAAAACCUCUCUCAGUUCGGACUGGAGUCUGCAACCCGACUCCACGAAGCUGGAUUCGCUAGUAAUCGCGCAUCAGCCACGGCGCGGUGAAUACGUUCCCGGGCCUUGUACACACCG